rnacentral:rRNA from 1 species
CGAAAGCCUGACGGAGCAAGACCGCGUGGGGGAGGAAGGCUCUAGGGUUGUAAACCCCUUUUCUUUGGGAGGAACAACAUGACGGUACCAAAGGAAUCAGCCUCGGCUAACUCCGUGCCAGCAGCCGCGGUAAUACGGAGGAGGCAAGCGUUAUCCGGAAUGAUUGGGCGUAAAGCGUCCGCAGGAGGCAAUGUAAGUCUGCUGUCAAAACCCAGGGCUCAACUCUGGUCAGGCAGUGGAAACUACAUAGAUAGAGUUCGGUAGGGGCAAAGGGAAUUCCCGGUGUAGCGGUGAAAUGCGUAGAGAUCGGGAAGAACAUCGGUGGCGAAAGCGCUUUGCUAGACCGAAACUGACACUCAGGGACGAAAGCUAGGGGAGCG